rnacentral:tRNA from 1 species
GCCCGGGUAGCUCAGCCGGCCAGAGCAGCUGAUUUGUAAUCAGCAGGUCAGGGGUUCGAAUCCCCUCCCGGGCU